rnacentral:rRNA from 1 species
GACGAACGCUGGCGGCGUGCUUAACACAUGCAAGUCGUACGGUAAGGCCCUUUCUGGGGUUCACGUGUGGCGAACGGGUGCGUAAAACGUGAGUAAACUUCCCACGACGUUGAGGUAACGCUACGGAACUGGGGGUAAUACUCGAUAUCUGCUCGUGCUGCAUGGUGGGGGUUGUUCAGCUCCGGCGGUUGUUGAUGAGCUCGCGGCGUAUUAGCUUGUUGGUGGGGUAGUGGCCUACCAAGGCGGCGGCGUGUAGCCGGCCUGAGGGGGUGACCCGCCAUAGUGGGACCGAGAGAAGGCCGCGAUGCCUAAGGGAGGACGCAGGGGGGAAUCUUGCACCAUGGGCGCCAGCCGGAUGAAGAAACGCCGCGUGUGGGAUGACGGUCUUCGGGUUGAAAACCGGUUUCAGCAGGGAAGAAGCCUUUUGUGACGGUACCUGCAGAAGAAGCACCGGCUAACUACGUG